rnacentral:sRNA from 1 species
UUUUAAAGGUUUUUUUUUAGUUUUUUG